GAGCGGAGCCGGGAGGCGGGGAAGCAGUGGCCGUGUGAGCGUGAGGAGCUGCCGCCACCGCCUGUUCCUCGUCGUCCUCCUCCUCGGGGGCCCCGGCGACGUGGGCCGCGCAGGGCCCUGGAAGAGACGUCGCCUCCCCUUCAUCCGCCUCUCUCUCACCGCGCCGCUCCCGCCUCCUCGUCCUGUGCUGCGGGCUCAGGCGGAACCCGAAACGGUCGUCCUCUUCCCCCGCCCGCCGCCGCCUCCUCCUCCUCCUCCUUCUCGGCUUCCUUCUCAGCCCCGGGCCGGAGCGGGGUGUUGGCGGCGGCCGGUUCGGGUGGCGACUCGCGCUUCUCUGGGCGGCGGCGCUUGGCCAUAUCGUGUCGGGGAAGGUAAUGAGCCGCAGAGCCCCGGGGUCUCGGCUGAGCGGCGGCGGCGGCGGCGGCGGCGGCGGCGGCACCAACGGCACCAACUAUUCGCGGAGCUGGAAUGACUGGCAACCCAGAUUGACUUGAUGCACAACAUCACAAAGGCGAUUUUUGAGAACUGAUAGUGCAUCAGCCGACCCAGGUAAUUUAAAAUAUUCUUCAUCCAGAGAUAGAGGUGGUUCUUCCUCUUACGGACUGCAACCUUCAAAUUCAGCUGUGGUGUCUCGGCAAAGGCACGAUGAUACCAGAGUCCACGCUGACAUACAGAAUGACGAAAAGGAGAGAUCAAUGUCUUAUUGUGAUGAGUCUCGACUGUCAAAUCUUCUUCAGAGGAUCACCCGGGAAAACGACCGAGACCGAAGAUUGGCUACUGUAAAGCAGUUGAAAGAAUUUAUUCAGCAACCAGAAAAUAAGCUGGUACUAGUUAAACAAUUGGAUAUCUUGGCUGCUGUACAUGAUGUGCUUAAUGAAAGCUUGUAAUGACCAGCCUGCAGUCAAUUCUUGAAAAUGUGGAUACACCAGAAUUGCUUUGCAAAUGUGUUAAGUGCAUUCUUUUGGUGGCUCGAUGUUACCCUCAUAUUUUCAGCACUAAUUUUAGGGAUACAGUUGGUAUAUUAGUUGGAUGGCAUAGAGAUCAUACUCAGAAACCUUCGCUCACGCAGCAGGUAUCUGGGUGGUUGCAGAGUUUGGAGCCAUUUUGGGUAGCUGAUCUUGCAUUUUCUACGCCUCUACUUGGUCAGUUUCUAGAAGACAUGGAAGCAUAUGCUGAGGACCUCAGCCAUGUGGCCUCUGGGGAAUCAGUGGAUGAAGACGUCCCUCCUCCAUCAGUGUCAUUACCAAAGCUGGCUGCGCUUCUCCGGGUAUUUAGUACUGUGGUGAGGAGCACUGGGGAAAGCCUCAGCCCAAUUCGGGCCCUCCAAUUACUGAGGCAUACGUAACAGAUGUUCUGUACAGAGUAAUGAGAUGUGUGACGGCUGCAAACCAGGUGUUUUUUUCUGAGGCUGUGUUGACAGCUGCUAAUGAGCGUGUUGGUGUUUUGCUCGGCAGCUUGGAUCCUAGCAUGACUAUACAUUGUGACAUGGUCAUUACAUAUGGAUUAGACCAACUGGAGAAUUGCCAGACUUGUGGUACCGAUUAUAUCAUCUCAGUCUUGAAUUUACUCACGCUGAUUGUUGAACAGAUAAAUACGAAACUGCCAUCAUCAUUUGUAGAAAAACUGUUUAUACCAUCAUCUAAACUACUAUUCUUGCGUUAUCAUAAAGAAAAAGAGGUUGUUGCUGUAGCCCGUGCUGUUUAUCAAGCAGUGCUCAGCUUGAAGAAUAUUCCUGUUUUGGAGACUGCCUAUAAGUUAAUAUUGGGAGAAAUGACUUGUGCCCUAAACAACCUCCUGCACAGUCUGCAGCUUCCUGAGUCCUGUUCUGAAAUAAAACAUGAGGCUUUUAAGAAUCAUGUGUUCAAUGUAGACAAUGCAAAAUUUGUAGUUAAAUUUGACCUCAAUUGACUACAAAAUUUGUAGUUAAAUUUGACUACAAUUGGAAAUGCCAAAAACUCACUAAUAGGGAUGUGGGCGCUAUCUCCAACUGUCUUUGCACUUCUGAGUAAGAAUCUGAUGAUUGUGCACAGUGACCUGGCUGUUCACUUCCCUGCCAUUCAGUAUGCUGUGCUCUACACAUUGUAUCCUCAUUGUACCAGGCAUGAUCACUUUAUCUUUAGUAGCCUCAGUUCUUCCUCUCCUUCUUUGUUUGAUGGAGCUGUGAUUGGCACUGUAACUAUGGCCACAAAGAAACAUUUCUCAAUUAUAUUAAAUCUUCUGGGAAUGUUACUUAAGAAAGAUAACCAGGACACGAGGAAACUGUUAAUGACUUGGGCUUUGGAAGUAGCUGUUGUAAUGAAGAAGUCCGAAACAUAUGCACCUUUAUUCUGUCUUCCGUCUUUCCAUAAAUUUUGCAAAGGCCUUUUAGCCGACACUCUCGUUGAAGAUGUGAAUAUCUGUCUGCAGGCAUGCAGCAGUCUACAUGCUCUAUCCUCUUCCUUGCCAGAUGAUCUUUUACAGAGAUGUGUUGAUGUUUGCCGUGUCCAACUAGUGCACCGUGGAACUUGUAUUCGACAAGCAUUUGGAAAACUGUUGAAAUCAAUUCCUUUAGGUGUUUUCCUAAGCGAUAACAAUCACACAGAAAUUCAAGAAAUUUCUUUAGCAUUAAGAAGUCACAUGAGUAAAGCACCAAGUAAUACAUUCCACCCCCAAGAUUUCUCUGAUGUUAUUAGUUUUAUUUUGUAUGGGAACUCUCAUAGAACAGGGAAGGACAAUUGGUUGGAAAGACUGUUCUAUAGCUGCCAGAGACUGGAUAAGCGUGACCAGUCAACAAUUCCACGCAAUCUCCUGAAGACAGAUGCUAUCCUUUGGCAGUGGGCCAUAUGGGAAGCUGCACAAUUCACUGUUCUUUCUAAGCUGAGAACCCCACUGGGCAGAGCUCAAGACACCUUCCAGACAAUUGAAGGUAUCAUUCGAAGUCUCGCAGGUCACACAUUAAACCCUGAUCAGGAUGUUAGUCAGUGGACAACUGCAGACAGUGAUGAAGGCCAUGGUAACAACCAACUUAGACUUGUUCUUCUUCUGCAGUAUCUGGAAAAUCUGGAGAAAUUAAUGUAUAAUGCAUACGAGGGAUGUGCUAAUGCCUUAACUUCACCUCCCAAGGUCAUUAGAACUUUUUUGUAUACCAAUCGCCAAACUUGUCAGGACUGGCUAACGCGGAUUCGACUCUCCAUCAUGAGGGUAGGAUUGUUGGCAGGCCAGCCUGCAGUGACAGUGAGACAUGGCUUUGACUUGCUUACAGAGAUGAAAACAACCAGCCUAUCUCAGGGGAAUGAAUUGGAAGUAAGCAUUAUGAUGGUGGUAGAAGCACUAUGUGAACUUCAUUGUCCUGAAGCUAUACAGGGAAUUGCUGUCUGGUCAUCAUCUAUUGUUGGAAAACAUCUUCUGUGGAUUAACUCAGUGGCUCAACAGGCUGAAGGGAGGUUUGAAAAGGCCUCUGUGGAGUACCAGGAACACCUGUGUGCCAUGACAGGUGUUGAUUGCUGCAUCUCCAGCUUUGACAAAUCGGUGCUCACCUUAGCCAGUGCUGGGUGUAAGAGUGCCAGCCUGAAACAUUGUCUGAAUGGUGAAUCCAGAAAAAGUGUGCUGUCCAAACCGACUGACUCUUCCCCUGAGGUUAUAAAUUAUUUAGGAAACAAAGCAUGUGAGUGCUACAUCUCAACUGCCGAUUGGGCUGCUGUGCAGGAAUGGCAGAACGCUAUCCAUGACUUGAAAAAGAGUACCAGUAGCACUUCCCUCAACCUGAAAGCUGACUUCAACUAUAUAAAAUCAUUAAGCAGCUUUGAGUCUGGAAAAUUUGUCGAAUGUACCGAGCAAUUAGAAUUGUUACCAGGAGAAAAUAUCAAUCUACUUGCUGGAGGAUCAAAAGAAAAAAUAGACAUGAAAAAACUGCUUCGUAACAUGUGAAGUCCAGAUCCAAGGGAACCUCAGAAAUCCAUUGAAGUUCCAUUGUUAAGAAGUUCUGUUUGUUUGGCAACUGCUUUAAACCCGAUAGAACAAGAUCAGAAGUGGCAGUCUAUAACUGAAAAUGUGGUAAAGUACUUGAAGCAAACAUCCCGCAUCGCUAUUGGACCUCUGAGACUUUCUACUUUAACAGUUUCACAGUCUUUGCCAGUUCUAAGUACCUUGCAGCUGUAUUGCUCGUCUGCUUUGGAGACCACAGUUUCUAACAGACUUUCAACAGAGGACUGUCUUAUUCCACUCUUCGGCGAAGCUUUACGUUCAUGUAAACAGCAUGACGUGAGGCCGUGGAUGCAGGCAUUAAGGUAUACUGUGUACCAGAAUCAGUUGUUGGAGAAAAUUAAAGUUAAGUGGUUUUCCUUUUUUUUUUUUUGUAAGAGAAAAUUAAAGGUGGUUUUUUUUUUUUAAAUUUUGCUUUAUUGAGGUUUAUAUUACACAUUCUAAGUGUAUGGUUUGAUGAGUUCUAACAUGUCUUCACUUGUGUGACCACCAAUACGAUCGAGAUAGAGAACAGCGUCUUACCCCAGAAGGUUCCCUUGGGAUCAUCUCCUCAUUUGCCCCUGUCAGCAGUUACUGAUUUGCUUUCUGUCACUAUGGAUUAGACUUGUCUUUACUAAAGUUUCAUGUACGUGAAAUCAUAACAACAUGUUCUCUUGUGUUUGGCUUCUCUUGCUCAGCAUGAUAUUUUUACGGUUCACCCAUAUUGCAUGUAUCAGGAAUAUAAUCCUUUUUAUUAUUGA
ensembl:lncRNA novel transcript